rnacentral:rRNA from 1 species
GACGAACGCUGGCGGCGUGCUUAACACAUGCAAGUCGAACGAGUGGCGAACGGGUGAGUCACACGUGGGUGAUCUGCCUUGCACUUCGGGAUACGCUUGGGAAACUGGGUCUAAUACCGGAUAGUGCAAGAUGAGCUCGCGGCCUAUCAGCUUGUUGGUGGGGUAAUGGCUACCACGGCGCGACGGGUAGCCGGCCUGAGAGGGUGUACGGACACAUUGGGGCUGAGAGACGGCCCAGAGUGGUACGGGAGGCAUAAGGGGGGAAUAAUGCACAAUAGGCGGAAGCCUGAUGCAGCGUCGGUGCGUGGGGGAGGCAGGCUUUCGGGUUGUAAACUCCUUUCGACAGGGAAGCGGUACCUGUAUAAGAAGCACCGGCUAACUACGUGCCAGCAGCCGCGGUAAGAC